ACAACGCUCUCAAUAUCAAUUUCCUCUGCGCGCUCUCUCUCUCUCUCGUUUCCUCUGCGCGCUCUCUCUCUCUCACUCGUUUCCUCUGCGCCUUCUCGCUUUGCUGCUCGCUAUUGAUUCUCUAAUCUCUAUGUUAUAAUCCAUAAUUGAAAUUGUAUCAGUAUUAUUUUGUUCUUUUUUUUGGUGUUAUUAACGUGUUGUGAUGGAUGCAGGAUUGCGGAACUCUGCUUCAUGGAACAAGACUCAAUCCCGUUUUCCUCUUCACGAGGAGUACCUUCAAAGAAAGAAUGAUCGCGAAAAUUUGGAUAGGUUUAUUCCUAAUAGGUCUGCAAUGGAUUUUGAUUUUGCCCAUUAUAUGGUGACGGAAGGGAUGAAAGGUAAUAAAACUCCAGCCACCAAUUCACCGUAUCUAAAGCAGCUUGCAGAGAUCUUGAACAUGAACCGGACACGGAUCCUUGCUUUUAAAAACAAACCGUCCACCCCUGUGGAAGGCAUUCCAAACGAGUUCACUUCUGCUGCUUUCCAAGCCAAACCAGCUAAACCCCCACGCCACAUUCCUCAGACUUCUGAGAGGACUUUGGAUGCUCCGGAUAUUGUGGAUGAUUACUACUUGAAUCUAUUAGAUUGGGGCAGCAGCAAUGUUCUUUCUAUUGCUCUGGGUAGUACUGUUUACCUGUGGGAUGCAUCUAAUGGUAGCACUUCCAAAUUGGUCACAAUUGAUGAUGAAAAUGGACCCGUUACAAGUGUUAAAUGGGCUCCAGACGGAAGACAUAUUGCUAUAGGCUUGAACAAUUCAUAUGUGCAACUUUGGGAUACCAGAGUUAACCAAUUGUUAAGAACUUUGAGAGGCGGCCACCAGUCACGAGUCGGUGCUCUUGACUGGAACAAUCAUAUAUUGACUACUGGUGGCAUGGAUGGUCUGAUUAACAACAAUGAUGUCCGAGUGAGAAUGCACAUUGUAAAAACAUAUAGAGGGCAUCGUCAAGAAGUCUGUGGCCUAAAAUGGUCUGCCUCAGGCCGGCAGUUAGCUAGUGGAGGAAAUGAUAAUCUCCUCCACAUAUGGGACAGAUCAAAAGCUUCUUCCAACUCCACGACACAGUGGCUUCACAGGCUUGAGGAUCACACUGCUGCUGUUAAGGCGCUUGCUUGGAGUCCUUUUCGGGAUAACUUGCUGGCCUCUGGUGGAGGUGCAAGCGACAGGUGCAUAAAGUUCUGGAAUAGCCAUAGUGGGACCUGUGUAAACUCAAUUGAUACAGGGUCACAGGUCUGUGCACUGCUUUGGAACAAGAAUGAGCGUGAAUUGCUAAGCUCUCAUGGGUUUACACAGAACCAGCUUACCCUCUGGAAAUACCCAUCAAUGGUAAAGAUGGCAGAGCUUACUGGACAUACAUCCCGAGUUCUUUUUAUGGCUCAGAGUCCAGAUGGUUGCACAGUUGCAUCUGCAGCAGCAGACGAAACACUUAAAUUUUGGAAUGUUUUUGGAAACCCUGAAGUAGCAAAACAGCAGGUUCAUUUCUUUGAGAUGCUUAUCACCAUACCUUCUUUGAGAUGCUUGGUAAUUGUUCUUUCGGAGAUUAUUUCAAAACAGAGGCUAUUCAAUGGGCUUGGGAACUUCUCGUAGAGGUAUAUAAGCUGCCUGCGGAUCAGAUUUAUGCCCACUUAUUUUGGGGUGAUGAGAAGUCUUGUCUUCCAGCUGACACCGAGGCUAAAGAACUCUGGCUCAAGCUUCAUCCCCCUGAACGUGUUUUGCCUUUUGGUUGCAAAGACAAAAUAAUGAUACUGGCAUUUUUAUAUAGGGAAAAUCGCACUUUUGGUCCCUCAAUUAGUAACCAAUAUGCAAUGUUGUCUUUAGUUUUCAAUUUGGACACAUUUGAUCCCUCAAUUAUUCGAUCCUUAGUCGUUUUGGUCCUUCGUGAGUUACGAAUUGUAACACCGUUUAAAGCAUGGGUAUACUUGUAAGUUCACAACGCAUUUAAUCAGACAAGUGUAUUUCUACCCUUCCUUCGCCCAGUCUCGCAUUUUAGUCACCAGUCCUCAACCCUAACCUUCGAAUAGAAGAUGCCAUUGACAGUUUUCCACCUCUUCGAAUAGAAGACGCUAUUGAAGAUAAUGUCUUCAAGCACUGUGGGUUCAACACAAUGGAUGCCAGAAGUGCGAUGUUGGUGCGGCGAAUUGGCUCCGGUAAAGAUGUCGUGGAGUACUGCGAAUUUAGGGAAGAGAUAUAGAGUUUGUCCAUAUUAUGGAGGUAAUGGCAGUUGUAGGUAUUUUGAAUGGAUUGACUCCUAUGUCUCUGAGCAUGUUUCCAGAGUUAUUAGAGGGCUAUUGAAAAGAUUAGAUAAGAAGUUGCCUUUAUUUAUAUCAGACUUGGGAUGAAAACUGGUGAACCAAGUCCAAAGUUUUUCCAGC